CGUAAAAAUAAAAUAAUAACAUUAAUAAUAAUUACUAUUUAACGGUAGAGCUCUGAAAUUAACGGGGACUACUAUGUUAUUAGUAUGAUAGUCCCAGCAAUUUAACAAAUUGAUCAUCAAAAGGACGGUUGUGCAAUUGUGGUCCAGGGACUUGCCGGUACGUCUAAAACCCACCCAGGCCGCUUUGGUGCACUAAGCCCUAAGACAUUUAUGGAACACUACAGCGAACUUUCUAGACAAAUUUGAUAUUGUCAGAUAAAAAUAGCCAACGCUUAUAUUGAAGAAUAAACAAGUCAUGAAAAGAAAUAUUACUAUACAUUGUACGGACAUUUUGACUAAUUCACUAGCUUUGAUACAGCGGAAGCAAAAACAUCGAGCGUAGCAAAGAUAAAAAAAAUAAUAAUGCUAAAAUUAUGUAUUUUUAAAUCAAAGGACAAAGCGUACGCAAUGUCACCCGGAAUCCGAAUCUGACUGACUAGCAAAUUACUACAAAAUUAAACCAAAAAA
rnacentral:lncRNA from 1 species